GAUGAACGCUGGCGGCGUGCCUAACACAUGCAAGUCGAGCGAACAGAUAAUGAGCUUGCUCCUUUGACGUUAGCGGCGGACGGGUGAGUAACACGUGGAUCACCUACCUAUCAUACUGGGAUAAUUUCGGGAAACCGGAGCUAAUACCGGAUAACAUAUUGAACCGCAUGGUUCAAUGGAGAAAGGCGGCUUUGCUGUCACUUAUAGAUGGAUCCGCGCCGUAUUAGCUAGUUGGUAAGGUAACGGCUUACCAAGGCAACGAUACGUAGCCGACCUGAGAGGGUGAUCGGCCACACUGGAACUGAGACACGGUCCAGACUCCUACGGGAGGCAGCAGUAGGGAAUCUUCCGCAAUGGGCGAAAGCCUGACGCAGCAACGCCGCGUGAGUGAUGAAGGUCUUCGGAUCGUAAAGCCCUGUUAUCAGGGAAGAACAAAUGUGUAAGGAACUGUGCACAUCUUGACGGUACCGGAUCAGAAAGCCACGGCUAACUACGUG
rnacentral:rRNA from 1 species